CUUUCGCAUUACACAUUGAGAGCAGAGAAGAGCCAGAGAAAGCAUGAUGGGCACAAGGUGAUUAUAUUGGUAAAAGGAACAAGUGAAUCGAAUUAUAACAGAAAAGUUAGAGUACAUAAGCCCACAAAGAACAUCAGCAUCUUGUGAACAAAAGCAGACGCUGCAAAUAUCAACCAAAACGUUGUAAUUCUAUAAUACAGAGAAAUACUGGAACGUAAGAAAAGAAAGCGGCA
rnacentral:lncRNA from 1 species